AACGAACGCUGGCGGCAUGCCUAACACAUGCAAGUUGAACGAGACCUUCGGGUCUAGUGGCGCACGGGUGCGUAACGCGUGGGAACCUGCCCUUAGGUUCGGAAUAACUCUCCGACAGGGGUGCUAAUACAGGAUAAUGUCUUCGGACCAAAGAUUUAUCGCCUUUGGAUGGGCCCGCGUUGGAUUAGCUGGUUGGUAGGGUAAAAGCCUACCAAGGCGACGAUCCAUAGCUGGUCUGAGAGGAUGAUCAGCCACACUGGGACUGAGACACGGCCCAGACUCCUACGGGAGGCAGCAGUGGGGAAUAUUGGACAAUGGGCGAAAGCCUGAUCCAGCUAUGCCGCGUGAGUGAUGAAGGCCUUAGAGUUGUAAAGCUCUUUUACCCGGGAUGAUAAUGACAGUACCGGGAGAAUAAGCUCCGGCUAACUCCGUG
rnacentral:rRNA from 1 species